rnacentral:rRNA from 1 species
UACGAAGGGGGCGAGCGUUGUUCGGAAUUACUGGGCGUAAAGGGCGCGUAGGCGGCCGAUCAAGUCAGAUGUGAAAGUCCUGGGCUUAACCUGGGGACUGCAUUUGAUACUGAUUGGCUUGAAUUCGGGAGAGGAUAGCGGAAUUCCCAGUGUAGAGGUGAAAUUCGUAGAUAUUGGGAAGAACACCGGUGGCGAAGGCGGCUAUCUGGACCGACAUUGACGCUGAGGCGCGAAAGCGUGGGGAGCGAACGGG